CGAUGGUGCGCAGGGAGUGCUCCUCCGUCACACGGUGCAGGGCGAAGACGUCGAAACACCACAGGUCAAGGCUCUGGGGGAGGAUGGGGGCACAUGGAGGGACUCAGUGAUGCCCAGAGAUGCCCAGAGAUGCCCAGAGAUGCCCAGGAUGGCAGGUGAUGCUCAGAGAUGCUCAGAGAUGCUCAGAGAUGCCCAGAGAUGCCCAGGAUGGCAGGUGAUGCUCAGAGAUGCCCAGAGAUGCCCAGAGAUGCCCAGAGAUGCCCAGAGAUGCUCAGAGAUGCCCAGGAUGGCAGGUGAUGCCCAGAGAUGCCCAAUGAUGCUCAGCAACACCCAGUGAUGCCCAGUGACCCCCCAGCAGUGCCAGUAGUGCCCAGUGCCGUCCAGUGAUGCCCACUAAAGCCCAUUGCAAUGCCCAGCGAUGCCCAGCAGUGCCCGGCGAUGCCAGUAACGCCACCGUGCCAC